GAUGAACGCUGACAGAAUGCUUAACACAUGCAAGUCUUUGGCGAAGCUGUGCUUGCACCGCCUAGCCAAGGCGGACGGGUGAGUAACGCGUAAGGAACUUGCCCUGCAGUCAGGGAUAACAGACGGAAACGACUGAUAAGACCUGGUAAAGUCAGGCGGACUCAUGUCCAGCCUGAUGAAAAGAGAUGCUGCAGGAGAGCCUUGCGUCCUAUUAGCUUGUUGGUGGGGUAACGGCCCACCAAGGCGAUGAUAGGUAGCCGGCCUGAGAGGGUGGACGGCCACAAGGGGACUGAGAUACGGCCCUUACUCCUACGGGAGGCAGCAGUGGGGAAUAUUGGACAAUGGGGGCAACCCUGAUCCAGCAAUUCUGUGUGCACGAUGAAGGUUUUCGGAUUGUAAAGUGCUUUCAGCAGGGAAGAAAAAAAUGACGGAACCUGCAGAAGAAGCGACGGCUAAAUACGUG
rnacentral:rRNA from 1 species